AUUGAACGCUGGCGGCAGGCCUAACACAUGCAAGUCGAGCGAGCGGCGGACGGGUGAGUAAUGUAGGGGGACUGCCCGAUCGACGGGGAUAACUACUGGAAACGGUGGCUAAUACCGCAUAAUGUCGGAUAACCCAUAUGGGAUUAGCUAGUAGGUAAGGUAAUGGCUCACCUAGGCGACGAUCCCUAGCUGGUCUGAGAGGAUGACCAGCCACACUGGGACUGAGACCCGGCCCAGACUCCAACGGAGGCAGCAGUGGGGAAUAUUGCACAAUGGGCGCAAGCCUGAUGCAGCCAUGCCGCGUGUAGGAAGAAGGCCCUAGGGUUGUAAAGUACUUUCAGUCGGGAGGCGUUACCGACAGAAGAAGCACCGGCUAACUUCGUGCCAGCAGCCGCGGUAAUAC
rnacentral:rRNA from 1 species